UUAAAUCAGUUAUGGUUCCUUAGAUCGUACCCACAUUUACUUGGAUAACUGUGGUAAUUCUAGAGCUAAUACAUGCAACAGAGCUCCGACCGGAGACGGAAGGAGCGCUUUUAUUAGAUCAAAACCAAUCGGCGUCGGGUGGUUCCGCCGCUCGUCGUCGUAUCCACUGGUGAAUCUGAAUAACUCUCUGCUGAUCGCAUGGUCUCGCACCGGCGACGCAUCUUUCAAAUGUCUGCCUUAUCAACUGUCGAUGGUAGGUUCUGCGCCUACCAUGGUUGUAACGGGUAACGGGGAAUCAGGGUUCGAUUCCGGAGAGGGAGCCUGAGAAACGGCUACCACAUCCAAGGAAGGCAGCAGGCGCGCAAAUUACCCACUCCCGGCACGGGGAGGUAGUGACGAAAAAUAACGAUACGGGACUCAUCCGAGGCCCCGUAAUCGGAAUGAGUACAAUCUAAACCCUUUAACGAGGAUCAAUUGGAGGGCAAGUCUGGUGCCAGCAGCCGCGGUAAUUCCAGCUCCAAUAGCGUAUAUUAAAGUUGUUGCGGUUAAAAAGCUCGUAGUCGAAUCUGUGUCCCGCGCCGCCGGUUCAUCGCACGCGGUGUUUAACUGGCGUGUCCCGCGGGACGUCCUGCCGGUGGGCUUUGCCGCCCGCAAGGGUGGCGGCCCAACUCAAUCCCACCGCGGUGCUCUUCACUGAGUGUCGAGGUGGGCCGGCACGUUUACUUUGAACAAAUUAGAGUGCUUAAAGCAGGCUAAAACUUCGCCUGAAUACCGUGUGCAUGGAAUAAUGGAAUAGGACCUCGGUUCUAUUUUGUUGGUUUUCGGAACCCCGAGGUAAUGAUUAAUAGGAACGGAUGGGGGCAUUCGUAUUGCGACGUUAGAGGUGAAAUUCUUGGAUCGUCGCAAGACGAACAGAAGCGAAAGCAUUUGCCAAAAACGUUUUCAUUGAUCAAGAACGAAAGUUAGAGGUUCGAAGGCGAUCAGAUACCGCCCUAGUUCUAACCAUAAACGAUGCCAGCUAGCGAUCCGCCGACGUUCCUUCGAUGACUCGGCGGGCAGCUUCCGGGAAACCAAAGCUUUUGGGUUCCGGGGGAAGUAUGGUUGCAAAGCUGAAACUUAAAGGAAUUGACGGAAGGGCACCACCAGGAGUGGAGCCUGCGGCUUAAUUUGACUCAACACGGGAAACCUCACCAGGCCCGGACACCGGAAGGAUUGACAGAUUGAGAGCUCUUUCUUGAUUCGGUGGGUGGUGGUGCAUGGCCGUUCUUAGUUGGUGGAGCGAUUUGUCUGGUUAAUUCCGAUAACGAACGAGACUCUAGCCUGCUAAAUAGGCGUAUUUCCGACAUCUCAAAGGCCCGCCGGUCCGGCGUUCGCGUCGCGUCCGUGCGCGGUUUUUACUGUCGGCGUACACACAAUUCUUCUUAGAGGGACAGGCGGCUUCUAGCCGCACGAGAUUGAGCAAUAACAGGUCUGUGAUGCCCUUAGAUGUUCUGGGCCGCACGCGCGCUACACUGAAGGAAUCAGCGUGUCCUCCCUGGCCGAGAGGCCCGGGUAACCCGCUGAACCUCCUUCGUGCUAGGGAUUGGGGCUUGCAAUUGUUCCCCAUGAACGAGGAAUUCCCAGUAAGCGCGAGUCAUAAGCUCGCGUUGAUUACGUCCCUGCCCUUUGUACACACCGCCCGUCGCUACUACCGAUUGAAUGAUUUAGUGAGGUCUUCGGACCGGUACGCGGCGGCGU
rnacentral:rRNA from 1 species